CUAACCGCCAGAAUUCACCACAAGCCUCGAUACUGCAAUUGCACCAACUUCUCCUCCUACAAGCUUCUUGAACCAGAAAAUCUUUUCUGAUGUAGAAGAUCAGCCAAAGCUGCGACUACAGAGCAUACUAAGAUUCCUUCCUCAAGCUAGGCGACCUCGCUUUGAUACAACUUGCUGGGAAAAAAGAAAUGACCCUUUUCCGUAAACCCCGAGAUAUCCGCCCCUUUUGUAAAGAGAAAAAAAUGAGAAAUAAAAACAACACAAGAAUUUAACG
rnacentral:lncRNA from 1 species